CCCUUAGAUGUCCUGGGCCGCACGCGCGCUACACUGAGUGUCUGAGAUACGAGUCUGCCUGGUCCGGCAAGGUCUAGGUAAUCGCUAAAAGACACAUCAUGCUUGGGAUAGAUUAUUGCAAAUAUUAAUCUUGAACGAGGAAUUCCUAGUAAGCGCAAGUCAACAGCCUGCGUUGAUUACGUCCCUGCCCUUUGUACACACCGCCCGUCGCUACUACUGAUUGGAUGUUUAAGCGAGGUUCUCGAACUGCUAGCGACUUAGCUUCGGUGAGGUCGCAGUGUGGGAAGUGAACCUAGCUUUGGUGUCUAGAGGAAGUAAAAGGCGUAACA
rnacentral:rRNA from 1 species